rnacentral:rRNA from 1 species
ACUGCGACCCCAGGUCAGGCGGGAUUACCCGCUGAGUUUAA